rnacentral:rRNA from 1 species
UACGGAGGGUGCAAGCGUUAUCCGGAUUCACUGGGUUUAAAGGGUGCGUAGGCGGACAGGUAAGUCAGUGGUGAAAUCUCUGGGCUUAACCCAGAAACUGCCGUUGAUACUAUUUGUCUUGAAUAUCCUGGAGGUAGGCGGAAUAUGUCAUGUAGCGGUGAAAUGCUUAGAUAUGACAUAGAACACCGAUAGCGAAGGCAGCUUACUACAGGAUGAUUAACGCUGAGGCACGAAAGCGUGGGGAGCAAACAGG